GAGUUUGAUCGUGGCUCAGAACGAACGCUGGCGGCAGGCCUAACACAUGCAAGUCGAACGCUCGUAGCAAUACGGGAGUGGCGCACGGGUGAGUAACGCGUGGGCACCUGCCCGGUGGUCCGGAAUAACCGCGGGAAACUGCGGCUAAUACCGAAUACGCCCUUAAGGGGAAGAUUUAUCGCCAUCGGAUGGGCCCGCGUAGGAUUAGCUAGUUGGUGAGGUAACGGCUCACCAAGGCUGCGAUCCUUAGCUGGUCUGAGAGGAUGAUCAGCCACACUGGGACUGAGACACGGCCCAGACUCCUACGGGAGGCAGCAGUGGGGAAUAUUGGACAAUGGGGGCAACCCUGAUCCAGCCAUGCCGCGUGAGUGAUGAAGGCCUUCGGGUUGU
rnacentral:rRNA from 1 species